CCGAGACUAGUAAGGUGAAGAUAUACACUGAAGAUACAGCGAUUUACUUCUGCCUUGAAUAGCUGAAUAUUCCCGGUCCUAUACAAGUCACGGUGUUCCCGUUCCUUCGGUCCACUGCAGGCCUUCAACAGAUGAUCUGGAGGUUGUGGUGGUCUCCGCAAAGUAGGAGGAGAAGGGAGAGUAGUCUGGACCCUCCCAGCAUGCGUAUGCACCAACCCCAUCUGAUGUGGGCAAAAUGGUGGAGGUGGAGGCCGAAGAGGCCAGUCCCUCGCAGCAGCUGCAUCCCCUCCUCACUCCUGAUGAGGAAGAAGAGGAGGAGGAGGAUGUUACCAGCCCCCGCCAGGAGGCACUCAUUAAAUUAAAAAACAAAAUAAUACAGCUGCAGCAAGAGGACAAAAAAGCCAUGCUGGAGAUCAGGGAGCAGCAAAGGAAGAUACGGGAGCAUCUGGAUAAAAAGGUGCAGCAGUUGGAGGAGCC